rnacentral:misc_RNA from 1 species
ACCAUAAUAGCUCACAAAUGCCUUUUGCCAUGACCCUAUAUUUUGCUUCUGCACUGGAUUUAGCUGUCAUAUUUUGCUUUUUACUUCUUCAAGUGACUGGGUUACCCCAACAAAGGUAUAAUAACCUAUUGUAAACCUCUUAUCAUCAAGAGAUUUGGCUUAAUUUGCAUCUGUAAAGGUUUUUAUCUGAAGAUGGCCAUGCUUUGAA